AUUGAACGCUGGCGGAAUGCUUUACACAUGCAAGUCGAGCGGCAGCACGGGGGCAACCCUGGUGGCGAGCGGCGAACGGGUGAGUAAUACAUCGGAACAUGCCCAGUCGUGGGGGAUAACACUUCGAAAGAAGUGCUAAUACCGCAUACGUCCUGAGGGGGAAAGCGGGGGAUCGCAAGACCUCGCGCGAUUGGAGUGGCCGAUGUCAGAUUAGCUAGUUGGUGGGGUAAAGGCCUACCAAGGCAACGAUCUGUAGCUGGUCUGAGAGGAUGAUCAGCCACACUGGGACUGAGACACGGCCCAGACUCCUACGGGAGGCAGCAGUGGGGAAUUUUGGACAAUGGGGGCAACCCUGAUCCAGCCAUUCCGCGUGAGUGAAGAAGGCCUUCGGGUUGUAAAGCUCUUUCGGCAGGAACGAAACGGUGAGCUCUAACAUAGCUUGCUAAUGACGGUACCUGAAGAAGAAGUACCGGCUAACUACGUG
rnacentral:rRNA from 1 species